CGCCCCCUCGGCGGCGGAGCCGGCAGAGCCCCGAACCCCCCGAACCCCGCCAGAACGCCUCCUGGUACCUCCGGUACCCCUCGAGCUCCCCGAACCUGGUACCCCCGAGGUUCCUGUGAUGCUUCCCACGGAGUUGUUCCCCCUCUGGAAUCCCUGUCACCCUCUGGAUGGGCCCGAGUCCCUUUUGCUGCCGUCGGGAUGUGAUCAGCCCCACGGAGCUGUUUGUUCAUCACCCUGUUCCCAUCGCUGGGAGCACAAUCUGAGCACAGCCCCACGUGCUCUGAUUUUCUAAGAGCCUCCUUAGAGGCUGAGCUGAGCAGGAAUCCUGAAUCCUGCUGCAUCCACGCUCAGGAAAACACCCAGCAGCUCCUGCUCCAGCACGGAUUUGCUGCUCAGAUCCCUGCAGGGCUGGGGGAUUCCUUGCUGGGGUUGGUUUGUCCACAAGGAUCAGCACAGCAGUGACCAAGCUCUGUAAGCACAGCAUGGACUUCACAUUUUUUGUCUUGGAAAAUGGAGAUCAGGACACUGUGUCCUCAUCUGGAGAGAAGAAAAGGAUCUCACAGCACAGUAUUAAGUGAAAAGCACUGUUUGCAUGAGGAGGUCUCAGCCAUGCAGAAGCUUUUGCAUUCCCUCCUUCACCCACAGCAGUGGUUGGGAAUAUCCAGGAUUGAAGCCCCAGCCUGGUCCCAGCCUGGCUCAAGCCCCACAGCGACGCCUCAAGGUUUAGCUUUUCUAUUUUUCACAUCCUGUGCUGCUUCAGUGUGUGGGUCUGGGCUUCACAUGAGGGGAUGCUGAGCUCUGUGCACAGAGCAGGGAGACAAAACAAUUCCUGCUCCAGCUGGGCACCAAGGACAAAUGAUCCAAAGCUCAGGCCCAGGAGCACAAACAGCGUGGGCUGGAGAGAGAAAAACAAGCAGGAUGGGAGUGCAUGGGCUGGAGCUGGAAUGGGACAAUGAACUGCAAGGUGCAAAUGGAGCAGAGCUGAUCCCAGUGAGAGCCCCCGGGAGCGCUCGUGCAUUUUGGGACCAUUUUGGUUCAUUUGGGUGCAGCCCUGGCUGGGCUCUGGUGCUGCCCAAGGUGGAUCCAUGGAGGAGAUCCUUUUAAUCAAUCCCUGCUUUAUCCUUUAGCUCUGUCCAGCCUCUGCUCUAGCUCAGCCUUCUCAAUGCACAAAUCUCAUGGAAACUUUCUUUUUUUCCCUUAGUUUCCACCUUAACCAAGAGUAUUAGCUCAAAGGACUCUAAUUAAAUAAUUGCCAACAGAAUACUGAGUAAAUACAAUGACAGAACUGCAACUUCAAUUAAAAAAAAAACCCAAAACUUUUUAUCUUCAUCCACCAAGCAUUAAACACAAUAAAAGCCCGUCUGGGGCUGAAUUCUUCUGGUCA